rfam:Citrus clementina cultivar Clemenules unplaced genomic scaffold scaffold_5, whole genome shotgun sequence.
UACUGAUAUUUUUUUACCAAGGUGGUGGUCUAUAGCUAGGCCUAGAGGAUGAUCAACCUCACUGGGAAUAAGACAAAGCCCGUCAGUGGGAAAUUUUUUGCUAUGGGCGAUAGCCCGACGGGGUAACUCCGAAUUGAAGUAGGAGGCCCAUGAGUCAUGAACUUCUUUUCUCGAAGAAGAAGUAAUGAUGGUAUUUAGGAAAUAAGCAUCGGCUAACUAUGUGCCAACAGCCGAGGUAAUACAGAGGACGUAAGCAUUAUCUGGACUGAUUAGGCACAAAGCAUAAGUAGGUGGCUUUUUAAGUCUGCUGUCAAAUUCCAAGGCUUGGCCCUCGACACUCGACAAGCAGUGGAAACUGCCUAGACAUGGCAAUAUUCUCCACCACCCUCGAACUCAUAGGCCCUCGAUGAAUUCAGGUCCGGUCAGAGCCCCAAAAUAUCUCAAAAAUAAAACCGGGCCAUUUUGGAGAUAGGGCCAAGACCCAAAGAAAUUUGGGGUUUGGAUUCGGGAAUUUUUUUUUAAGUCUUAGAACCUAAAUCCGAAAUAUUUUUAAAUUCAUUAAAUUAUCAUGUUUUUAAAUAUUUUUUAAUUUCUUAUCAUAGAUUAUUCCGGCAGUGUUAGUUUUAACAUCUUUCAAUAAUUUCUAUAAGAAAAAAGAAUCUUUCAAUAAUUCGAUUCCUCAAGGAAAAGACCAUCAUUUUUAUACUACAAGAGUUUUUAAGUUAAGAGUAUUUGACAAGAGAAACAUUUAAUAUAUAUUUUGGGCAAUAUAUAUUUUGUCGAUGGGGGGAGAGUUCUGCAGAUUGUUAAAUAUCAUGCAUAUUCUGCACAAACUUUGGGGAUUUAUAGACUGCAGAUUGAUCAUAAAUUCCGAAUAAGUUUCAAACACUUGAAAAUAUCAGAUUAAACAGAAGGAACAUCAUUUGAACUGUUUAAAUGUCCCAGCUUCAAAAUCAGUCCCUAAUAAAUAAAUUAUCCAAACUCAGUUUGGGUGCUCUUGCAUGCUAAUGGCCUAAGUUCUCUAAUAAAUAGUUAUCCAAAAAGAACCUAAUUUUACUAAGAACUAACCAAACUAGGGAUCCAGCAUCCUUUUUAAUCUUUGCUCCAUUCAAGGAUUAUCGGUGAUAAUCCCGAAUUAUCCCCAAUAGAAAUUUUUUGGUACGGGGUGAGUAUGGGGAUUACUUAUUAUUCGAGAUGGUGCCCCGCCCUGAACCAGCCCCAUUGCCAUCCCUAAAACUAUAAAGUUAGAGAAAGGUGGGAGCGGAGGAAAUUUUCAGUAGAGCAGUGAAAUGCUUAGAGAUCGGAAAGAACACCCACGAAGAAAGCACUAAGAAACGAAAGGUAGGGGAGUGAAACGAAAGCACUAAUAGUCGUAGCCUUAAACGAUGGAUACUCGACGUUGUGGUUAUCAACCUAUACACUGAUGUGGCUAACGCAUUAAAUAUCCUCCUUGGGGAGUAUAUUUGCACGAAUGAAACUCAAAAGCAAUUGACAGGGGCCUGCAUAAGCGGUGGAGCAUCUAGUUUAAUUCAAUGCAAAGUGAAGAACCUACCUGGGGCUUGACAUGCCGGGGAAUCCCCUUGAAGGACAGGAGUGCCUUAAGGAACGCGGGAAUAGGUGGUGCAUGUCUAUCGUCAACUCUGCCAUAAGGUGUUGGAUUAAGGUUCGCAACAAUUGCAACCCUCGUGCUUAGCUGCCACCUUCAAAUUUGGAACCCUGAGCAGGCUAUCAGUGAUAUAAGCCGAAGAAAGGUGAUGAUGAUGUCAAGUCAUCGUGCCCCUUAUGCCUUGGGCAACACACGUGUUACAAUGGCCAGGCCAAAGGGUCGAGAUCUCGCAAGGGUGAGCUAACUCCAAGAAUUCGUUCUUAAUUCGGAUUGAAAGCUGCAACUCGCUUGCACGAAGCUGGAAUCGCUAGUAAUUCCCGGUUAGCCAUAAGGUGGUGAAUUUGUUCUUGGGCCUUGUACACACCGCAAGGUGGAGUCAUGAUGCUUGAUUA